rnacentral:rRNA from 1 species
CCCUUAGAUGUUCUGGGCCGCACGCGUGCUACACUGAUGCAUUCAACGAGUCUAAAACCUGGUCUGAUAGGGCUGGGUAAUCUUUUGAAAGUGCAUCGUGAUUGGGAUAGAUGAUUGCAAUUCUUCAUCUUCAACGAGGAAUGCCUAGUAAACGCAAGUCAUCAGCUUGCAUUGAUUACGUCCCUGCCCUUUGUACACACCGCCCGUCGCUCCUACCGAUUGAAUGAUCCGAUGAAUACCAUGGAUUGAGAGUACGAAUAGGUUCGCUUAUUUCUGCUGCUCGAGAAGUGGAGUAAAUCUUAUCAUUUAGAGGAAGGAGAAGUCGUANCA